CCUACGGGAGGCAGCAGUGGGGAAUAUUGGACAAUGGGGGGAACCCUGAUCCAGCGACGCCGCGUGAGUGAAGAAGUAUUUCGGUAUGUAAAGCUCUAUCAGCAGGGAAGAAAGAAAUGACGGUACCUGACUAAUAAGCCCCGGCUAACUACGUGCCAGCAGCCGCGGUAAUACGUAGGGGGCAAGCGUUAUCCGGAUUUACUGGGUGUAAAGGGAGCGUAGACGGCGAUGCAAGUCUGAAGUGAAAGGCGGGGGCCCAACCCCCGGACUGCUUUGGAAACUGUAUGGCUGGAGUGCGGGAGAGGUAAGUGGAAUGCCUAGUGUAGCGGUGAAAUGCGUAGAUAUUAGGAGGAACACCAGUGGCGAAGGCGGCUUACUGGACUGUAACUGACGUUGAGGCUCGAAAGCGUGGGGAGCAAACAGGAUUAGAUACCCCAGUAGUC
rnacentral:rRNA from 1 species